UUAAUUGGAAAGCAUAAUUACUAGAGUGCCCUUCACCCUGGACUAUUUCUUCUUCAUCGUCAUCAGAAUUGAGAAAUGCAGGAUGGAGUUGUGUAGCCCAGAAAUAAUUGAGGCAAGGGAGAGAUGGGGAGUUUGUUCAAAGGGCGGUUGCCCCUCUCCCUUCCCUAUGAUCCCAUCAAGCACCCCAUAACAGCCCUUUGAUCUUUCUUUCAUCUUGAAAGAAACACAAGAAAAAUAAAAAUAAAAUAAAAGGCAGAAAAAGGUUAAUUUUAAUUCCGUGUUUGGUUUGCGGAAAGAUGAGGGCUUUUUUCUGUCGCGGAAAGCUUCAUCGUCUGUUGUUCUUUCUGAUCUUUGAAACUGCGCCUUAAUUAUGGAAUGUUCAAUGUAGUAUGUACCUGAAAACUGUGACGAGAGGCUGUGAUGAUUGUGAUUUCUGCUCUCUUUUUUCUGGGCUACUGAUUUCAGGGCAAUCUGGGAUGAUCCGACCCGUAUCUUGGCGGGGCAAUCAGGUGAUUUGCAGCCAUGGCGGCGCUGGCUUCCCGUUGCCCGGUUGAGAAACAGAUCUGAGCCUCAUCAAAAUCACUUUUCUUCACUGCAAUUCUCUGGUUUCCUUUCUACCCUUCUGAAUUUCUGCUUAGAGUGGCCUGAAUGAGGCUUUGACAGAGAUGUAAGUUUUACCUAUAUAGGGUUUGCUUCUCUGAUAAUUCCAUGAUCUCUCUCUCUCUCUCUCUCUCUAUCUUUAUCCUGCAAUUCUCUGCAACUCUGAAAAUGCAACAAUGAUUUAUGGGGGGCUAUGAUGAUAAUUGGUUUGAAGAGAAUAGGGUAUUGAGAUGAUUAGGCCUGUUGUAUCUUGGCUAGGCAAACCCUGAUCAGUUGUGACUAUUUGUUACAUUGCAAUCUGGGAUUUGCAGCCAUGGCAGUGUCACCAAGUUUCAAUACCUGAUCAGAUGUUUAUAUGAGCCUCAAUACACAUUGUGUGUGAAUGUUUUUUUUUUUUUUUUUUUGGGGAUGAGGAGGAAAACCAACCUCCUAUGAGAAUGUUUUUUGCUUGAAAUUUUAGUAUGAUCACAUUGCAAUAGCUCUGUAAAAUACAUCUUUACCAGAGAAAAGUCACUACAGGAAAGACACUCAGUGCCAUAUUUGUUUAAGCUUUAGACAACCAAAAAGUGACAUUAUUUUGCAUUUGGUAUGCCUCACCUCACACACACUUGGUAGUAACUGCUACAACACACACAAAGUUCGAAAUUGAGUGCAGAUUAUAUCAUGAACCACAUCGCACCUUGCUAUGUAUGCCUGUCAUUUCGUGGAAAGCUCGAAAGAAGAAAUGAGGCUCUGCAGCCAUCAGGAUUACUAGACUGCCUUCUUCCAAUUACCCUCAACUCGAUUUUCAAUCUAACAUCAACUCUACAGUGAGGUUUGUAGCCUAGAAACUCAAAAGGAAGUGAGGCAGGAGAUAUGGGAGUUUCUUCAGAGUGUUGCUAUCUUACCUCUCUAUUCUUUGCUAAUGACACUUGUCCAUUUUCAUCUAAGAACACACCAAACUGCCCUUUCAUCAAUUUUUCUUUGAGCAAGAAGAAAGGAGAAGUAAAAAAGAGUAAAUUCAUGUCCAAAUUUUAUUCAUUUUAGAGGCUGUCUCAAGAUUUGGUUGUGGAGUUACCCUAACAUUGGACUUAUGUAAAUUUGUAAGCAAUUUUCUGUAUUUAUAGUUGAAUCAAUGAACUGAUUUUCACCUUCUCCUUCCA